GACGAACGCUGGCGGCGUGCUUAACACAUGCAAGUCGAACGGAAAGGCCCUGCUUUUGUGGGGUGCUCGAGUGGCGAACGGGUGAGUAACACGUGAGUAACCUGCCCUUGACUUUGGGAUAACUUCAGGAAACUGAGGCUAAUACCGGAUAGGAGCUCCUGCUGCAUGGUGGGGGUUGGAAAGUUUCGGCGGUUGGGGAUGGACUCGCGGCUUAUCAGCUUGUUGGUGGGGUAGUGGCUUACCAAGGCUUUGACGGGUAGCCGGCCUGAGAGGGUGACCGGCCACAUUGGGACUGAGAUACGGCCCAGACUCCUACGGGAGGCAGCAGUGGGGAAUAUUGCACAAUGGGCGGAAGCCUGAUGCAGCAACGCCGCGUGCGGGAUGACGGCCUUCGGGUUGUAAACCGCUUUCGCCUGUGACGAAGCGUGAGUGACGGUAAUGGGUAAAGAAGCACCGGCUAACUACGUGCCAGCAGCCGCGGUGAUACGUAGGGUGCGAGCGUUGUCCGGAUUUAUUGGGCGUAAAGGGCUCGUAGGUGGUUGAUCGCGUCGGAAGUGUAAUCUUGGGGCUUAACCCUGAGCGUGCUUUCGAUACGGGUUGACUUGAGGAAGGUAGGGGGAGAAUGGAAUUCCUGGUGGAGCGGUGGAAUGCGCAGAUAUCAGGAGGAACACCAGUGGCGAAGGCGGUUCUCUGGGCCUUUCCUGACGCUGAGGAGCGAAAGCGUGGGGAGCGAACAGGCUUAGAUACCCUGGUAGUCCACGCUGUAAACGGUGGGUACUAGGUGUGGGGUCCAUUCCACGGGUUCCGUGCCGUAGCUAACGCUUUAAGUACCCCGCCUGGGGAGUACGGCCGCAAGGCUAAAACUCAAAGGAAUUGACGGGGCCCUGCACAAGCGGCGGAGCAUGCGGAUUAAUUCGAUGCAACGCGUAGAACCUUACCUGGGUUUGACAUGGAUCGGGAGUGCUCAGAGAUGGGUGUGCCUCUUUUGGGGUCGGUUCACAGGUGGUGCAUGGCUGUCGUCAGCUCGUGUCGUGAGAUGUUGGGCUAAGUCCCGCAACGAGCGCAACCCUUGUUCACUGUUGCCAGCACGUUAUGGUGGGGACUCAGUGGAGACCGCCGGGGUCAACUCGGAGGAAGGUGGGGAUGACGUCAAGUCAUCAUGCCCCUUAUGUCCAGGGCUUCACGCAUGCUACAAUGGCUGGUACAGAGAGUGGCGAGCCUGUGAGGGUGAGCGAAUCUCGGAAAGCCGGUCUCAGUUCGGAUUGGGGUCUGCAACUCGACCUCAUGAAGUCGGAGUCGCUAGUAAUCGCAGAUCAGCAACGCUGCGGUGAAAACGUUCCCGGG
rnacentral:rRNA from 1 species